rnacentral:rRNA from 1 species
UACAGAGACUGCAAGCGUUAUUCGGAUUCACUGGGCGUAAGGGUGCGCAGGCGGCCAAGUGUGUUAGGCGUGAAAGCCUGGGCUUAACCCCAGAAUUGCACCUAAACUACAUGGCUAGAGCAUUGGAGAGGGUAGCGGAAUUCACAGUGUAGCAGUGAAAUGCGUAGAUAUCGUGAGGAACACCAGAGGCGAAGGCGGCUACCUGGACAAUUGCUGACGCUCAGGCACGAAAGCGUGGGGAGCAAACAGG